UACGGGGGGGAGCAAGCGUUGUUCGGAUUUACUGGGGCGUAAAGGGCGCGUAGGCGGCGCGGUAAGUCACUUGUGAAGUCUCUGAGCUUAACUCAGAACGGCCAAGUGAUACUGCAGUGCUAGAGUGUGGAAGGGGCAAUCGGAAUUCUUGGUGUAGCGGUGAAAUGCGUAGAUAUCAAGAGGAACACCUGAGGUGAAGACGGGUUGCUGGGCCAACACUGACGUGGAGGCGCGAAAGCCAGGGGGAGCAAA
rnacentral:rRNA from 1 species